rnacentral:lncRNA from 1 species
CUUGGGCCAUUAAGGCUGACAGGCUGGACGCAAGUAACGCCUCUGGAAUCGGCGAUAUGGGUAAAAUCAACGAUUGUUGGGAGAAAUCGCCAAGUUGCUUGGACUCUAGUGACCUUCUCCCAGAAUCGACGAGUUUCCAGACCCAAUGGCGAUUUGAGGGGUUGACUUGGGACCUUUGGUUCCGCUUCUGUGAGAGCCUUUCGGGAGUCCGUCAUAAAGUGAACGGAACCCUAGUUUCUAUUGAUGGGAAGGACAUGUGUGCAAUCCUAUAUCAUCAGUAUUCCCCCCCCAAAUAGGAAUCUGUGACAGGGCAUGUACCGUCAGUAUCUCCCUCCCCCGAACGGACCGUGUUACCUGCAAAGAGAAAAUGUUUAUUCCAGCCAUAGCGAUGGAAGGAUCUCUAGCCGUAGCGAUAGAGUUUUUGAUCCGACCGUAGCGAUGGAUUGAUUUCAGACCAUAGCGACAUAAUGUUUUUAGAUCUGUAGCGACGGAUGAUCCAUAGCGAUGGAUUUAUUUCUGGCUGUAACGUCAAAUUUUUUGUUUAAAUCCGUAGCGAUGGAUUGAUUUCUGACCGUAACGAUAAAUUUUUUUAGAUCCGUAGCGAUGGAUUUAUUUCUGAUUAUAGCGACAUAAUUUUUGUUUACAUCCGUUGUGAUGGAUUGAUAUCUGCCGUAGCUACAUAAUUUAUGUUUAGAUCUAUAACGACGGAUGAUCCAUAGCGAUGAAUUGAUUUCGAAAGAAAAAAAAUUAGAUCAAUAGCGACGGAUCCAUUUUAGCUAUAGCAAUAGAAAGAUAUCUGCAAAAAAAGAAAAAAACUGAUAUAUGUAGCAACAGAUUCGUUUUAACCAUAGCGAUAGAACGAUACCCACAGAAAAGAAAAGAAAGACGGAUAUUCGUAGUGACGGAUUCGUUUUACCAAUAGCGAUAAAAUGAUAUACCUACAAAAAAAGAAAAAAAAUUGAUAUCCGUAGCGACGGAUUCAUUUUAGUCAUAGCAAUAGAAUGACACCUACAAAAAAGAAAAAAAUACAAGCAUAAAAAGUAUUGAAAAAAUUUAUUUUACUUACCGUAUGAAUCAUCGUUCGUGCUACUCCUUUCUUUUGCUCGAUAAAUAUUUGGCCGAAGCGACAGAUUCUUUUUGUGAUACUCUCUACUUUUGGGCGAUAAAUAUCCAGCUGAAGCAACAGAUUCUUUUGCAAUACUCCCUCCUUUUGCUCGAUAAAUAUCCGACUAAAGCAACAUAUUUCUUUUGCGAUAUUCCCUCCUUAUGUUCGAUAAACAUCCGACCAAAGCGACGGAAUGUUUCGAGUUGUUUGCGAUAUUCCCCCUAGAAUCGGCAAUUCUGUGUGAAAGUCGUCGAUUUUCCCGUAGGGUGGGGAUGUACUAAGAUUUUGCGAUAUUCCCAUGGAAUCGACGACUUUGUGCAGAAAUUGUCGAUUUUCCCGUGGUAUGGGAAUAUCUUUGAAGAUUUAGGGCUAUAUCUGAAAAUAUCUUCUAUUUUGGAAAUAACAUAUUCGAUUUUUCCUUACGAUUUCCACUUAUUUAGAAAAUAAGAUAUUCAUAAAUCUUUUCUUCGUAAUUUUCAGAUUUUGUGGAGGGUUGUAAUUUUUUCAAAGAUUAUAAAUAGUGGUCGGAUUAUUUUAAUCCUCACUUAAUCCACUCACAAAACCAUAGAGCAAUUGUCGAUUUCCAGCACUUUACACCUUCAAAUCGGCGAUAUCAUGGCUUCCUCGUGAAUAAACCCUAGCUCUCCCCCAAGCAGUCGAAAAUCGACGAUUUCGCCUUGGAGCAGAGCCUUUUUGACACAAUCAACCAGGUUGAAUCUUUGAUAUCAUCCUUCGCCGAGGGUUCAACUCAAGAAGGAGAGGAAUCGGCGAAUCUGAAGGUUUGAAUCACCGACGUCCGACCCAGCCGAGGUCGAAUUAAUUCUGAGUGCGGCUAGGCACAUAUGCUAAGUGUUACCUCCUCUGUGCGGUCGAUGAUUUCCCCUGUGAAAUCAAUGAUUCCCGCGAGUGAGGCUACGCCAAUGUCGGCGAUUAAGGCCGCCCGUAGGAGAAAUCACCGCCCUUGGGGAAUCGGUGAUUGUGCCACCUAAAUCGACAAUUGUUUCUCAUCCUGAACCGACACUUCUGCUUAUAGCGCCCCCUCGCCUCCGAAUGUUAUCAUCACAGAGAAGGGGGAAAUCAUAACUGAAGCGAACACUGAGGUUCACAAACGUAAAGCUUCAGGUGUAUGGAGCCACGUACAAUCUACGUAUGCUCUCCACGUAGGAUAGAUAGUUUUUUAUAACAGAAAUGUAACUAAUUACAUAUAUAAAUACAGUUCAAAUGUAAUUACAGAGCAAUACAAUUUGAUUCAGUUAACUACACUUCAUGUCUU